UACGAAGGGGGCUAGCGUUGUUCGGAAUUACUGGGCGUAAAGGGCGCGUAGGCGGUCGUGACAAGUCACUUGUGAAAUCUCCGGGCUUAACUCGGAACGGUCAAGUGAUACUGUCGGACUAGAGUACAGAAGGGGCAACUGGAAUUCUCGGUGUAGCGGUGAAAUGCGUAGAUAUCGAGAGGAACACCUGCGGCGAAGGCGGGUUGCUGGGCUGAUACUGACGCUGAGGCGCGAAAGCCAGGGGAGCGAACGGG
rnacentral:rRNA from 1 species